rnacentral:rRNA from 1 species
GCUUGGGAAUAUGCCUUAUGGUGGGGGACAACAGUUGGAAACGACUGCUAAUACCGCAUACGCCCUACGGGGAAAAGGAGGGGACGUCUUCGGAGCCUUUCGCGAUUGGAUGUACCCAAGUGGGAUUAGCUAGUUGGUGAGGUAAUGGCUCACCAAGGCGACGAUCCCUAGCUGGUUUGAGAGGAUGAUCAGCCACACUGGAACUGAGACACGGUCCAGACUCCUACGGGAGGCAGCAGUGGGGAAUAUUGCACAAUGGAGGAAACUCUGAUGCAGCCAUGCCGCGUGUAUGAAGAAGGC